rnacentral:rRNA from 1 species
CAGUCGCCACGGGAAUACGGAGGGGGCUAGCGUUGUUCGGAAUUACUGGGCGUAAAGCGCACGUAGGCGGCUUGGUAAGUUAGAGGUGAAAGCCCGGAGCUCAACUCCGGAAUUGCCUUUAAGACUGCCGAGCUAGUAGGUGAGAGAGGUAAGUGGAAUUCCGAGUGUAGAGGUGAAAUUCGUAGAUAUUCGGAAGGACACCAGUGGCGAAGGCGGCUUACUGGCUCAUUCUAGACGCUGAGGUGCGAAAGCGUGGGGAGCAAACAGGAUUAGAGACCCGCGUAGUCCCUGUCUCUUAUAA